rnacentral:tRNA from 1 species
UCCCCAUUAGCUCAGUCGGUAGAGCAGGUGACUGUUAAUCACCUUGUCCUUGGUUCGAGUCCGAGAUGGGGAGCCA